AGUGAACGCUGGCGGUAGGCCCAACACAUGCAAGUCGAACGGCAGCACAGUAAGAGCUUGCUCUUACGGGUGGCGAGUGGCGGACGGGUGAGGAAUACAUCGGAAUCUACUUUUUCGUGGGGGAUAACGUAGGGAAACUUACGCUAAUACCGCAUACGACCUACGGGUGAAAGCAGGGGAUCUUCGGACCUUGCGCGAUUGAAUGAGCCGAUGUCGGAUUAGCUAGUUGGCGGGGUAAAGGCCCACCAAGGCGGCGAUCCGUAGCUGGUCUGAGAGGAUGAUCAGCCACACUGGAACUGAGACACGGUCCAGACUCCUACGGGAGGCAGCAGUGGGGAAUAUUGGACAAUGGGCGCAAGCCUGAUCCAGCCAUACCGCGUGGGUGAAGAAGGCCUUCGGGUUGUAAAGCCCUUUUGUUGGGAAAGAAAAGCAGCAGGUUAAUACCCCGCUGUUCUGACGGUACCCAAAGAAUAAGCACCGGCUAACUUCGUG
rnacentral:rRNA from 1 species